AAAAACGCAAAAUCUCUUUUUUUGGAUUUUUGAUUUAUAACACAUUUUUUUUUCAAAUACAAAAUAGAAAGUACAAUAACAAAUGAUUCGACAUUAUUGUACAAAACUAGAAAGUAAAAGACAACAUAAAAUGAAAAACAAACUCAAAACAUAUAAAAUAAAAAACAAUCUCCUUAAACAACUCCUGAAUGAGAGAUCUUGACUGGAUGGUCCUAAGGCGUCUGUCAUACCCAAACUCCGGUAAGUAGAUCCACACCUGUAUGAGAAAACUUUAAACAACACUAUGUGAGACAAUAACACUCCCUAUUAGACACAUACACGACAUGAUUGAGGCUAUUUUUGCAAAAAUAACCUAUGUGGCUAAAAGUGAGUAGAAAUGCUAGAUUUUGCUAAGACCCCGCGAAUCCAAGAACCUAAGACUCACUAGGAAGACCGGACCCUAUGUGAGCUGCCUACGUAUCACGCCUCGAAAGACAAGAAUCAGGUAUGCGUAGUUCGGGCAGAUUGAAUACGGCCGAAAAUAAAAAAAUAACUAAUUUAGAGAAAAGAUAUUUUUGUCUUUUUUUUUUUUGAAAAAUGAUGAAACAUGUAUACUCUUUUUGGAUUUUGUUUUCCCCUUUCUUUUGAUUUUCAAAAAAUGAUGAAAAAGUGCAAAAACUUUUUUUUUUUUCAUUUUUCACGUGUUUUUCUCUUUUUCUUAACAAAAAUGUGACAGAAAAACACAACUGGGUCCUAUUUGCUUUAUUUUCACACUUCACCCUCUCUUUUUUCUUGUUUUUUUUUUCUUUUUCAUUUGCCCUCAGUUAUCAUUGGUCUACCAAAUGACCCUUUUACCCUUGAAGAUUGCAACAUGUAGCACGUAUGAUACAUCAAGAUGGUUUUUUAUUUUUGGGUACACCUAUCCUAGACGGAUCCAACCCCUGUGUUAAUUCCCCUAAGUCAAAUGCACAUGAUGAAAACAAACAUUUCUACUAGGGAUCCGGCAUGAGGCUGUAUUUUUCUAGAUUUAAAUCAUUGGGUUGUGUUCUAGACCUGGCUUACCCAAGCGGACAACUCGAGCCGAAGAGGGGGCAACAUACCGGGAGCACUGAAGUUUACCCGGUCUUGUUGCUGGCCCAGCCCCGUUCUUAUUUGGUAUAACUUUUACAGAAAAAGCGGGCCACACGAACGUGCGCACCAUUUUUAAAAGACUUAGAGGGAUGGCGUAAGAAGACAGUUAUAUACAAUUCAAAUAAUAUCAAAGCGGUAAAUAGACAGCAAUUAGCACAAAAGGUUCACAAAAUACAGUAACAUCAACAAAUAAAUAAAGCCAAGUAAAAAUCAUAUUAACAAGCUCGAAUUCUUGAACCCUGAACCAGAGAUUCUGGGGGUAUAAGAGAGUUUUUUCCAAUUUAAGUGACAAUCGAAAUAGGAUUAUUUAAAUUAAAAUUAGAGUCACCACUUAGGAUAAUUUAUAGUGUCCAAAGUCACGGGUUAAAAUCCCGAAUCGAGGAAGUUGACUCUAUUUACGGUCUACGAACACAGAAAUCUGGGUAAGGAAUUUUGUUAACCCGGGAGAAGGUUUUAGGCAUUCCCGAGUUCCGUGGUUCUAGUACAGUCGCUUUGAUCAUACUUGGCUUAUUAAAAUUGUCUAAUCACUUAUUUUAGAACCUAUGUGCAUUUGCCUCUUUUAAUUAAGAAUUAUCUUUAAACAGGUCAUGCGCACGUGUACCUAUUUGUUUGGUGCGUCAAAAUCAUGUCACGCGAAUGUGUCCAUAAUUAAUAACGCUUUAUUAAUAUUAAAAAUAUUUGGUCAAAGUUGCACGAACUCAUACUAUGAUUCUGUUUUUAAAAUCGUAAUUAUGUCAUGCGAACGUGUACACAACCAUAAUGGUGGAUUAAGUUGCGCGUAAAACAAACUUCGAUGUAUAUUAAUUUAUUCACCUCUUAAAACCCAAACCCAACUAAUAUCUUGUUCUAGCAUUGGAGUACAAUUAGCAAACUUGACAAAAAGGAACUAAAAUAAAGAAUUGUGAUUUUUUAUCAUUCAAAACAGCAAAACAAGUAGAAUCUACUUAUGACAGAAUUAACUAAGUUUAGACCUACUAAUCGAUGGGCUAAAUGUAAAGGAAUCAACAUAUGAAUUCACCUCUUUAAACAACUAAGAUAAUCAUAUUUUUUUUAUCGUUGACCCCAUGAAGUGAUUACUAAUUGACCACUCUUAAUAAAGUUAUCAGCCAACAAACUAAAACAAAUACACCAUUUUGAACAUAUUAUAAAUUGAUAGUGACACAAGCAAAACAAUCUUAUAUCAACCAUGAUCAUCCAAACCUUUAGCAAGAACACGCAGAUGAAGCUUAAGAGGAUGAUGAAGUGAGAAAUAGACCUUUACGAAACAGCUUUACACUCGCGAAUGGAAUUCGAACCAGAAAUCGAUAGAUAGUACCUCGACGCACGACUGAAAUGGACUCCGUGCACAACGACCUCGAAUAGAGCUUUGAUGGUGAACCUCGAGCAGACCCCAAACUUUGCAACAAAAACUCCUAACCUCGAGCAGACCCCAGAUCUGUCGCUUUCGUAAGCAAAAUAGACCUCCACAUGGUUGCUUCAAAUUGAUGGAUUCUUCUUUAGAAGUGUUAUUUUAAUGUGCUAUGUUUUGGAUUCAACUAUCGAUUUGGAAUAGAAGGUCUAAGGGAACUACUUUAUCUCUCUUGGGGCUGCAUGGAGUUCGGUCUUAUUUCAAGUUUAUUGUGUUGAUGCUUCUCUUUGUAUUGUGUGUUCAAGCUUCCAUGGAAAUGUCUGCUUCUCCUCUCACCAAGGAGAUCGGUUGCUCGGGGGUGGGGGUCGUUUUUGGGUGUUCAGCGGCGCUCCUCACGUCUUAGGCAUCUAGGUCUAUUUUUUGUACUGUUUUGGAUGAUUGUAGAGUGUAGGGAUAUAGGUUUUUGUACGGUUUUUAGGUUAAGGGGUAUGAGGCUAGGAAUUAUGGGCUAGAUCCAAAAAUUAGGCCUAAAAACGAGUCGUUUGAGCCCAAAUUUUAUUCCUUUUUCCCGUGAACAAGACAAAAAAUAUGACCUCAUUUACCAAUUAAUCCUUCUUAGAUAAAAUAACUAUUAAAAUAAGAUUGACCAUUAAAACAAAACUAUUUUUUGUAUUUUUCAAGAUUAAAA
rnacentral:lncRNA from 1 species